GAUAAGGUUAAGUGAAUAAGGGCGCACGGUGGAUGCCUUGGCACUAGGAGCCGAUGAAGGACGGGACUAACACCGAUAUGCUUUGGGGAGCUGUACGUAAGCUAUGAUCCAGAGAUUUCCGAAUGGGGGAACCCAACAUCUUUAAUAGGAUGUUACGAUUGUGUGAAUACAUAGCACAUUCGAGGUAGACGCAGAGAACUGAAACAUCUAAGUACCUGCAGGAAGAGAAAGAAAAUUCGAUUCCCUGAGUAGCGGCGAGCGAAACGGGAAAAGCCCAAACCAACAAGCUUGCUUGUUGGGGUUGUAGGACUCCAAUAUGGUCGUUCUUUCAGAUAGUCGAAUGACUUGGAAAAGUCAGUCAAAGAGGGUAAAAACCCCGUAGACGAAAUGUGGAAGACACCUAGGAGGAUCCUGAGUACGGCGGAACACGAGAAAUUCCGUCGGAAUCCGGGAGGACCAUCUCCCAAGGCUAAAUACUCCCUAGUGACCGAUAGUGAACCAGUACCGUGAGGGAAAGGUGAAAAGCACCCCGGAAGGGGAGUGAAAUAGAACCUGAAACCGUGUGCCUACAACAAGUCAAAGCCCGUUAAUGGGUGAUGGCGUGCCUUUUGUAGAAUGAACCGGCGAGUUACGAUUGCAUGCGAGGU
rnacentral:rRNA from 1 species